AACGGGAACUUUUUGAACGUGUCCUCGUUUCUAUCAAAUAGAAAUAAUGUGAAUCUUGAGUGUUUAUGGUGUCCCUUCCUUGCUGACCUCAUAAUGUAUCAAAUACUCACUAGGUUGUGUACAUUAGAAUAGCACUUUCAUUUGCUUUCUCAUACGCUGUUAACCGAAACGACUUAUGAGGGGCGUUUGAAAGAGGGGAAUAGAACAGCUUAAAAAUAUCCGGGGUCAAAUAAUUCAGGGAAGUGCACAACAGGUACAAAAUCAUAAAGACCCUUUAUCAUUAUUGGGCAAACUGAAAGAAAACUGCCGAAACUUUACUAAGUUUCGUUUUUUUUUGUAGUGUAUGUAUAAGCAGCCACCAAUAGUGAGUUCUUCAAACAUUAAGCAAUCAUUGUUGUGUUUAAAGUUAAUGUUUAACUGUUUCGAAUGUUUGCGAAUGCUGCGUUCCAGACAUUGGAAUUAAGUACUUUUAAUAUAAGCUUAAAAAGCUAUUUAUUAGGCUAACUGUUGGUUAUUUCAGACAUACCUUGGCGUUGAAUACUGUAUGGCUGGGGUCGUUUUAAAAUAUGCUCGUUUAUAGGGUAUUGUCACGUCGUCCGCACGACAUCCACUUUAAACAAAUCAUCAGCGCUCUUUGACCAUCCGCGCAUCAAAUAAUUCAGGGAAAUGCACAAAGUGUCAUCAUUUUAGUCAAACGAUAGAAAAAUGUCAUAACUUAGAUACCUUUGUUCGCAGUCUAUAAGUAUAAGCAUAAGCAGCCAGCAAUAGUAAUUUCUUCCUAUAUUCUUCCAGUAUUGUGUAAUUCCGGAAGACGCAAAAGGGAAUUUCAUCAUGACGCAGUGUCACAUAUUGUAUAAAAGUGUAACCCGUGGAACGCCUAAGUAUUCUGUCAUUAUCAUUACAACCACACAAUAGAAUCAAUCUGUGUUAAAACUCUUUACAGUUUUGAAGAAUGGUUCAGGAAGUGAAGACACUGAUACUUCUCUGCAUGCUCAUUGGAUGCUCAAAGGGUUUCCCUUCACUUGGUGCACCUGAAGAUGCAGGCAGUACAGAAAGACCAGAUACUAUUUGGCAUGUUGAGGGUGGAGAAGUCAGAAGAACUUUGAGGAAGUUAAGCGGUCCAUGUGGAAUGCCGAUUUUGAAGAAUGGUUCAGGAAGUGAAGACACUGAUACUUCUCUGCAUGCUCAUUGGAUGCUCAAAGGGUUUCCCUUCACUUGGUGCAGCUGAAGAUGCAGGCAGUACAGAAAAACGAGAUACUAUUUCGCAUGUCUUGGAUGUUACUCCACCAGUGUGCCGUGUGUUAAAUGAGAGUUUGUUUUGUCCUUUAUCAUGUGGAAUUGCAACUUGGCAAGUGAGUUAUAUCAUGUCAGAUGGCAGUGGCUCAGGAAUCGAUUUUCCUUACUUCAUCCCCACGGGCUCUGGUGAAAUAAGUAUUACACAUGAUAUAACUAAAGAUGAAAAUGGAUACAAUGCAACCCAUUACUCAUACAUUGGGUCCUGCUGCCUCAGUAAUGUGGAGAUUAUAGUGUUGGACAAGGCAGGAAACAAAGGGAAAUGUCCCUUUAAUAUACGUUACCCUUUAACCACAGUCUUUCGAAUGGCUACAUCCAGUAGCUCAUUCACAACCAUCUCUGUUGGGUCAAGUUUAUUACUGUUGGCAUUAAAAUCUAUGCUGCUGUAAGAUAUACAGUAGACACGCCAUUAAACUCCAAAAAUUUCAAUAAAUGAUGCUCUUGGUUAUGAUGAUGACUUUCAUAUUUAUUUAACAGUUUUAUUGUGUAGCUAGAAAUAACACAGAUGUCUAACUACAAAUACUUUUUUAUUCCUGUUUUCUAUUUGUAAUUUUAUAAUAUAAUUAUUGCAUUUAAUAAACGAAAAUGCAUUAAUGUUAACUGUUAUUGAUGCAUUACAGUAUAUUAACUGCAUACAGAACAUAAAUGUCCUCCUAGUGGAAAACUCAAGUUCGUUAUUGUAUUGCAAUACCAAGACUGUCCACGUGGGAGGCUUUUUGGUUUAAAAAAGUAUAUAGACAAACUGAAUAAUUACACAAACUAAGUUUAUCCAAAGAGUUAUAUACAAACUUUUUGCAAUGAUUGUUUUGAAUUGAAAGUUUGAUAUGGUUCAAACUGUUGAUCUUGAUUCUGUUGUGCUCAAUGACAAACGGUUGUUCUUUAUAAUAUAUCUCAAUUUUUGCGCAAAAUAAUUGGUAAGGUUUAACUGAUAGGAUCCGGUCAACCUCAAUGGUCUAUAGGCUCCCCAUAGUUGUAAAACAACAGGGUAUACUGCAAAACUAGUAAUAUUAUUUCUCAGUAAAACAAUGAAUUAUAGGCUCAGACAUGUUUAGAUACUGGUAGGGAAUGCCAUACAGUGCCCUAAAGCUACACACAUUUCCAAGUGUCAUGUCAUAUUUUGUGGUGACCUGACCCCUAAGGUUCAGUUUGGACUCUAUAUGUCAAAAUUAAAUUUAAAUUACAAAACAUUUAAAGCUUGUUAUCUUGGGAAACAGAGAUACAACUGUAACAGUUUGAGGAAAUUAAGUAAUCAAUACCUACUUAUUGUGCAAGGUCUUCAGAUACAUUUUACUGCCUAUAAAGACACUUUUGUGUGAGAGGGUGUGUUUGGAGUGUAUAUAUACUGGUCUACAGGUCUCAUUUCAAACACAAAUCAAAAAAUCCUUGACUGAGGAAAUUCUUUUGAUUUCAUCUAAAGUUUUGAAGAAUGGUUCAGGAAGUGAAGACACUGAUACUUCUCUUAUGCUCAUUGGAUGCUCAAAGGGUUUCCCUUCACUUGGUGCACCUGAAGAUGCAGGCAGUACAGAAAGACGAGAUACUAUUUGGCAUGUCUUGGAUGUUACUCCACCAGUGUGCCGUGUGUUAAAUGAGAGUUUGUUUUGUCCUUUAUCAUGUGGAAAUGCAACUUGGCAAGUGAGUUAUAUCAUGUCAGAUGGCAGUGGCUCAGGAAUCGAUUAUCCUUCCUUCAUCACCACGGGCUCUGGUGAAAUUAAUAUUACACUUGAUAUAACUAAAGACGAAAAUGGAUACAAUGCAUCCCUUUACUCAUACAGUGGCUCCUGCUGCCUCAGUAAUGUGGAGAUUACGGUGUUGGACAAGGCAGGAAACAAAGGGAAAUGUCCCUUUAAUAUACGUUACCCUUUAACCACAGUCUUUCCAAUGACUACAUCCAGUAGCUCAUUCACAACCAUCUCUGUUGGGUCAAGUUUAUUACUGUUGGCAUUAAAAUCUAUGCUGCUGUAAGAUAUACAGUACUGACAAUCUUUUAAACCCACAAAUUUCAAUAAAAUAAUGCACUUGGUUGUU